AUGACCAUCGCAUUCCUUUCCAUCCUCCUAGUCCUAUCAGCCAUUUCUGUAGCUUGUUCCGGCGCUUCCUCUCCCAACCGCAAUGGCAGUGACACAGACCUUGCCAGUCUGCUGGCUUUCAAAGCCCAGCUCUCCGACCCUCUUGGUGUCCUCGCCGGCAACUGGACAACCAGCACAUCAUUCUGCCACUGGGUCGGCAUCGAAUGCAGCCGGCGGAGGCAGCGCGUCACAGCUCUGUCGCUGCCGGAUACACCUCUCUAUGGACCCAUCACACCUCACCUCGGUAACCUCUCUUUCCUCUCUGUCCUCAAUCUCAACAACACCAACAUCACGGGCUCUAUCCCACAUGAUUUAGGUAGACUUCAUCGCCUUGAAUUCCUGAGACUUGGCUACAAUGGCCUCUCAGAUAGCAUCCCUCCUACUAUAGGAAACCUCUCAAGGCUUCAAGUUCUUGAUCUAAAACUGAACCUUCUAUCUGGUUCAAUCCCGCUAGAGCUACGCAACCUGUACAAUCUUGCCUAUAUAAAUCUCAUGAAAAAUUCCAUUAGUGGAUCUAUACCGACCGACAUGUUUAACAAUACCCCUAUGUUAACUUAUUUAAACUUCGCCAACAAUAGCCUGUCAGGGUCAAUACCAUCUUGCGUUGGCUCCUUGCCACUGCUCCGCAACCUUAUUAUGCAUUACAAUCAUCUCACCGGCCUAGUGCCUCCUUCCAUUUUUAACAUGUCUAAACUGCAGGGUAUCUAUCUCACCCAUAACUACUUAACUGGUUCUUUCCCUACAAAUGCAAGUUUCAAUCUCCCGAUGCUACAGAUUAUCGCCAUAGGACAGAACAAUUUCACAGGCCAUGUUCCAUUGGGCCUUGCGUCUUGUCAAUACCUCAAAGUUAUUUCCUUCUCCCUUAAUUCAUUUGAGGGUGUUGUGCCAACAUGGCUAGGCAAGUUGACUCGUCUCAUUUGGUUGGCCAUGGGCGAGAAUGGCCUUUUCGGGUCAAUCCCUAGCACGCUUAGCAACCUCACUUCGCUAGAGCUCCUUGACCUUGGAUCCUGCAACCUAACAGGAGCCAUUCCAACAGAACUCGAACAGUUAAGUCAACUGUCACAAUUGAAUCUUUCGGAGAACGAGCUAAUAGGACCCAUUCCUGCUUCUCUUGAUAAUGCAACUGAAUUAGCAAUCCUAUUGUUGGACCAAAACAUGUUGACUGGAUCAAUACCUGGAUCUAUCGGUAACAUGAACUCUUUGAUGAUCCUUGAUAUUUCAACUAACUACCUACAUGGGGAUGUCAACUUCUUACCCGUUUUCUCUAAUCUUCCAAAUCUCCAAUACCUUAGCAUCAAGUCAAAUAAUUUCACGGGUAGUCUCCCUAACAAUGUAGGGAAUAUAUCAAGCGAGCUGCAAGUUUUUUUAGCACGUGAAAACAGGUUGGUUGGAGGAAUUCCAACCACAAUUUCAAAUUUAACUGGCCUAUUUGUGCUAGAUCUUUCAGAAAACCAACUUCAUAGUGCAAUUCCAGAGUCCAUCAUGAUGAUGACAAAUCUAGAAUGGCUUGACCUCGAGAAAAAUAAUUUGUUUGGCUCCAUCCCAUCUCAGAUUGCCAUGCUCAAGAAUCUAGACCAUAUUUUUCUCAACGACAAUUGUUUCUCUGGUUCCAUACCAGAAAACAUCGGCAACCUCACUAAGUUAGAAUUUCUCAGCUUAUCAAGAAACCAAUUAACAUCAACUCUGCCACCAAGUUUGUUUCAUACUGGUAGCUUAGUAGACCUAGAUUUGUCCCAAAACUCUUUAAAUGGUGCACUACCAUUGGAUAUGGGCUAUUCUAAACAAAUUAUUAGCAUGGAUCUCUCUACCAAUCACUUUGUUGGUAGGAUCCCAGAUUCGGUUGGACAACUUCAAACAUUAACCAACUUGAACCUAUCACAAAAUUCCUUCUCCGGUUCAAUUCCAAACUCUUUCAACAAGCUAACCAGCUUGAAAUCCUUGGACCUAUCACAUAAUGAUUUCUUCGGUACCAUCCCAAAUUACCUGGCCAAUUUUACCCUGCUCAAUAGUUUGGACCUAUCUUUCAAUAAUCUAAAAGGUCAGAUACCCAAUGGAGGGAUCUUCUCAAACAUUAGCAUACACUCCUUGAUGGGGAACUCAGGUCUUUGUGGUGCUUCACGAUUAGGGUUUUCAACAUGUCCAAGUAACCAACAAAAAACUAAAGGUGGAAUUUUGAAAAUUGUAGUCCCUACCAUCAUUAUAGUGAUUGGUGUUUUAGCUUCAUAUUCAUAUGCAAUGAUAAGAAGGAAAACUAGCAAUCAGCAAGGGAUGCCAGUUUCUAUUGAUAUAGUUGACGUGACAAGUCAUCCUCUGGUCCCUUACCAUGAGCUCGCUCGCGCUACAAAUAACUUCAGCGAGAGCAACCUUUUGGGGUAUGGAAGCUUUGGAAAAGUUUUCAAGGGUCAACUAAACAACGGUUUGGUGGUUGCAAUAAAAGUCAUAAACAUGCAGCUUUUGCAGGGCAUCAAAAGCUUUGAUGCCGAGUGUCAGGUUCUCCGUAUGGCACGGCAUCGUAACCUUAUAAGGAUACUAAAUACAUGUUCCAAUCUGGAUUUCAGAGCAUUAGUGCUUCAGUACAUGCCCAAUGGCACUUUAGAUGUGCUCUUGCACUACUCUCAAAGCACAAGGCACUUGGGGUUAUUGGAUAGGAUAGGCAUAAUGCUUGACGUGGCUAUGGCAAUGGAGUAUCUGCACCAUGAGCACCACGAGGUGGUCUUGCACUGUGACUUGAAGCCAAGCAAUGUGUUGUUUGAUGAGGACAUGACCGCGCAUGUAGCAGAUUUCGGCAUUGCAAGGUUGCUACUAGGUGAUGAAACCUCUGUGAUCUCUGCGACCAUGCCUGGGACAGUUGGGUACAUGGCACCAGAAUAUGGAUCGCUUCGGAAAGCAUCACGAAAGAGUGAUGUAUUCAGCUACGGCAUCAUACUCCUUGAAGUCUUCACUAGAAGGAGACCCACGGAUGCAAUUUUUGUUGGGAAUCUAACACUGAGACAAUGGGUUUUUGAGACAUUCCCCGCUAGCCUUGUUCAUGUCGUGGAUGGCGAUCUACUGCGAGAACCUUCUUCUAGCCGCCACUUGGAAGUCUUUCUUGUGCCAAUAUUCGAGUUGGGUUUGCUCUGCUCCUGCGACUCUCCUGACCAAAGGAUAACGAUGAUGGAUGUGGUCGUGAAGCUGAAGAAGAUCAAAGUGGAGUAUACCAAAUGGAGUGCAACCCAAUGA
rnacentral:rRNA from 1 species